GACAGAGGGUGCAAUCGUUGUUCGGAAUUACUGGGCGUAAAGCGUGUGUAGGCGGCUUUGCAAGUCGGGUGUGAAAGCCCCAGGCUCAACCUGGGAAGUGCACUCGAUACUGCUAAGCUAGAGUGUCGGAGAGGUUGGUGGAAUUCUCGGUGUAGAGGUGAAAUUCGUAGAUAUCGAGAGGAACACCGGUGGCGAAGGCGGCCAACUGGACGAACACUGACGCUGAGACACGAAAGCGUGGGGAGCAAACAGG
rnacentral:rRNA from 1 species